CCUACGGGGUGCAGCAGUAGGGAAUCUUUCACAAUGGGCGAAAGCCUGAUGGAGCAACGCCGCGUGCAGGAUGAAGGCGUUCGGGUUGUAAACUGCUUUUAUAAGCGAGAAAUAUGAUGGUAACUUAUGAAUAAGGAUCGGCUAAAUACGUGCCAGCAGCCGCGGUCAUACGUAGGAUCCGAGCAUUAUCCGGAGUGACUGGGUGUAAAGAGUUGCGUAGGUGGCAUAAUAAGUAGCUAGUGAAAUCUGGUGGCUCAACCAUUCAGACUAUUAGCUAAACUGUUAAGCUCGAGACCGUUAGGGGUAACUGGAAUGUCGAGUGUAGGAGUGAAAUCCGUAGAUAUUAGAAGGAACACCAAUAGCGUAGGCAGGUUGCUGGGACGGUUCUGACACUAAGGCACGAAAGCGUAGGGAGCAAACGGGAUUAGAUACCCUUGUAGUC
rnacentral:rRNA from 1 species